CCUAUCUUGGCCUUGUUGGUUUGGCUGUGGGACUGAGUUUGGUUGUCUUCUUCCUCUUACUGACCCUGCUGUGGUGCUACAAAACCAACAAAGAAUCUCUGUGUCGCUGUACUGCAAGUCAGUCAGACAUCAAUCAGACAUCAGAUCAGACCCAGAGAGAGUCAGGAGAAGCUGCCCACAUAUCUGACACAGCUGAGCCAGCAGACAGGAGCAGCACAGAUGAACCUGCAGAUGAUCUCAGUGAUGUCACUUAUGCUCAGGUCAUGAAACAUCACAAAAAAGCAUGAAUAAAG